UCCCUACGGGUGGCUGCAGUGGGGAAUAUUGGGCAAUGGGCGCAAGCCUGACCCAGCAACGCCGCGUGAAGGAAGAAGGCUUUCGGGUUGUAAACUUCUUUUAUGAGGGACGAAAACAUGACGGUACCUCAUGAAUAAGCCACGGCUAACUACGUGCCAGCAGCCGCGGUAAUACGUAGGUGGCAAGCGUUAUCCGGAUUUACUGGGUGUAAAGGGCGUGUAGGCGGGACUGCAAGUCAGAUGUGAAAUUCCAGGGCUCAACCCUGGACCUGCAUUUGAAACUGUGGUUCUUGAGUGAUGGAGAGGCAGGCGGAAUUCCCUGUGUAGCGGUGAAAUGCGUAGAUAUAGGGAGGAACACCAGUGGCGAAGGCGGCCUGCUGGACAUUAACUGACGCUGAGGCGCGAAAGCGUGGGGAGCAAACAGGAUUAGAUACCCUGGUAGUCAU
rnacentral:rRNA from 1 species